CGGCUGAGUCCUAAUUCUCAACUCCCACAAGCCCCAGUCACUCAGCGCAUUGUGUCCCCUCCAAUUGCCCUCUGGCUUGGUGACAAUUUGUGGAUCCGGAGCUCUCUCAGAUGUGUCCUGGAGAAAGGAUAAGCUGCUGUGUCAAUGAGGGAACCCAGCCAGGAGCUCCCUCGCUCUGGGAAAGCCCCACACGUUCACUCACUUCAAGGAGUCUGGGUCUACAUGAAGGACAAGCCUGUUGAGGAUCAAUCUCAGAGAUGCAGCAGUGGCAUCUCAGGAAUCAUCUACUGAUGCCUCUGCCCAGGGAGGAACUGGGAACGGUGUGUGCUGACUAACCACCACAGCAACUCUGCUCAGCACUCAGCAAGCUACAACAUACCUGCAGAGGAUGCUACAGGCAGACCCUGACGCUGCAAGGGAGGGCACGCCACCCUCUUUCAGGAUCAGGCCUCAGUCCACAGUUUCAGAUCUGUCAAGCUGACGACCUCAUCAUGCCGUUCACAUGGCCCUACGCCUCCCGCAUCAGCUCUGAGCUGGAUCGUCAUCCUUGGCUCCUGCAGUGUGUUGAUAACAUGGCUCCCAUGUUACAUGUUUAUUUCCUUGUUAAUGUUGUUCAGGGUUCCAUUUAGCCAGUGAGGCGGCAGUAAAUAAAUAAGGAAGUAUGCUUCAGGAAUAGCUCUGAAGUUUUGUGGCACA